GCGUGGAGCAUGUGGCUUAAUUUGACUCAACGCGGGAAAUCUUACCGGGUCCGGACACACUGAGGAUUGACAGGCAAUAUAUGUGACUCUUCGGAGUUUGCAUUGUUAAAUAUGCUAGUCCUUUCAUGAUUAUGUGAUAGGUGGUGCAUGGCCGUUCUUAGUUCGUGGAGUGAUCUGUCUGCUUAAUUGCGUUUCAAAUUACUUAUAAGGUAGCAAUACGCGAUGAAGCUUUCAAUAGUCCUCACGGAUUCACUUGAGUCUCUCGCUUCGCUAUCCUUUCGAAUGCAACGAACGUGACCGCAACCUCUUGUUGCCUUCGUUUAACAUCCUGCAGCUCNCUGUGGGUACUGAGGGCUUCACUCGGUGACUUUGGGCUGAGCAAUCGGUCU
rnacentral:rRNA from 1 species